AUUGAACGCUGGCGGCAGGCCUAACACAUGCAAGUCGAACGGUAACAGGAAACAGCUUGCUGUUUCGCUGACGAGUGGCGGACGGGUGAGUAAUGUCUGGGAAACUGCCUGAUGGAGGGGGAUAACUACUGGAAACGGUAGCUAAUACCGCAUAACGUCGCAAGACCAAAGAGGGGGACCUUCGGGCCUCUUGCCAUCGGAUGUGCCCAGAUGGGAUUAGCUAGUAGGUGGGGUAACGGCUCACCUAGGCGACGAUCCCUAGCUGGUCUGAGAGGAUGACCAGCCGCACUGGAACUGAGACACGGUCCAGACUCCUACGGGAGGCAGCAGUGGGGAAUAUUGCACAAUGGGCGCAAGCCUGAUGCAGCCAUGCCGCGUGUAUGAAGAAGGCCUUCGGGUUGUAAAGUACUUUCAGCGGGGAUGAAGGGAGUAAAGUUAAUACCUUUGCUCAUUGACGUUACCCGCAGAAGAAGCACCGGCUAACUCCGCG
rnacentral:rRNA from 1 species